AUACUACGGUGAAUACGUUCCCGGGCCUUGUACACACCGCCCGUCAAACCAUGAGAGUUGGCAACACCCGAAGUCGGUAGUCUAACCGCAAGGAGGACGCCGCCGAAGGUGGGGUUGAUGAUUAGGGUUAAGUCGUAACAAGGUAGC
rnacentral:rRNA from 1 species